UACGUAGGGUGCGAGCGUUGUCCGGAAUUAUUGGGCGUAAAGAGCUUGUAGGCGGUUUGUCGCGUCUGCCGUGAAAAUCCGGGGCUCAACCCCGGACUUGCGGUGGGUACGGGCAGACUAGAGUGUGGUAGGGGAGACUGGAAUUCCUGGUGUAGCGGUGAAAUGCGCGGAUAUCAGGAGGAACACCGAUGGCGAAGGCAGGUCUCUGGGCCACUACUGACGCUGAGAAGCGAAAGCGUGGGGAGCGAACAGG
rnacentral:rRNA from 1 species